UUGACUUAAGCAUAUCAAUAAGCGGAGGAAAAGACACCAACAGGGAUUGCCCCAGUAACGGCGAGUGAAGCGGCAACAGCUCAAAUUUGAAAUCUGGCCCUCGGGUCCGAGUUGUAAUUUGUAGAGGAUGCUUUUGGCGAGGUGCCUUCCGAGUUCCCUGGAACGGGACGCCAUAGAGGGUGAGAGCCCCGUCUGGUCGGACACCGAGCCUCUGUAAAGCUCCUUCGACGAGUCGAGUAGUUUGGGAAUGCUGCUCAAAAUGGGAGGUAUAUGUCUUCUAAAGCUAAAUAUUGGCCAGAGACCGAUAGCGCACAAGUAGAGUGAUCGAAAGAUGAAAAGCACUUUGAAAAGAGGGUUAAAAAGUACGUGAAAUUGUUGAAAGGGAAGCGCCUAUGACCAGACUUGAGCCCGGUGAAUCAUCCAGCGUUCUCGCUGGUGCACUUUGCCGGGCCCAGGCCAGCAUCAGUUUGGCGCGGGGGAUAAAGGUGACGGGAAUGUGGCUCCCUCGGGAGUGUUAUAGCCCGCUACGUAAUACCCUGCGCCGGACUGAGGUACGCGCAUUGCAAGGAUGCUGGCGUAAUGGUCAUCAGCGACCCGUCUUGAAACACGGACCAAGGAGUCGUCUUCGUAUGCGAGUGUUCGGGUGUCAAACCCCUACGCGUAAUGAAAGUGAACGCAGGUGAGAGCUUCGGCGCAUCAUCGACCGAUCCUGAUGUUCUCGGAUGGAUUUGAGUAAGAGCAUACGGGGCCGGACCCGAAAGAAGGUGAACUAUGCCUGUAUAGGGUGAAGCCAGAGGAAACUCUGGUGGAGGCUCGCAGCGGUUCUGACGUGCGAAUCGAUCGUCAAAUAUGGGCAUGGGGGCGAAAGACUAAUCGAC
rnacentral:rRNA from 1 species